rnacentral:rRNA from 1 species
CGUAGGGUGCGAGCGUUAAUCGGAAUUACUGGGCGUAAAGCGUGCGCAGGCGGUUCGUUAAGUUCGUUGUGAAAGCCCCGGGCUCAACCUGGGAACGGCAAUGGAAACUGGCGGGCUUGAAUGCGGCAGAGGGGGGUGGAAUUCCGCGUGUAGCAGUGAAAUGCGUAGAGAUGCGGAGGAACACCGAUGGCGAAGGCAGCCCCCUGGGCCGACAUUGACGCUCAGGCACGAAAGCGUGGGGGAGCAAACAGGAUUAGAUACCCUGGUAGUCCACGCCCUAAACGAUGCUCACUAGGUGUUGGGGAAGCGAUUCCUUGGUACCGUAGCUAACGCGUGAAGUGAGCCGCCUGGGGAGUACGGCCGCAAGGUUA